rnacentral:rRNA from 1 species
CAUUCCUACGGGACGCAGCAGUGAGGAAUAUUGGUCAAUGGGCGGGAGCCUGAACCAGCCAAGUCGCGUGAAGGAAGAAGGUACUUAGUAUUGUAAACUUCUUUUGUCGGGGAACAAAGGCGGAGACGCGUCUCCGGAUGAGUGUACCCGAAGAAAAAGCAUCAGCUAACUCCGUGCCAGCAGCCGCGGUAAUACGGAGGAUGCGAGCGUUAUCCGGAUUUAUUGGGUUUAAAGGGUGCGCAGGCGGGAGAUCAAGUCAGCGGUAAAAUCGCGGGGCUCAACCUCGCUCCGCCGUUGAAACUGGG